UACGAAGGGGGCUAGCGUUGUUCGGAAUUACUGGGCGUAAAGCGCACGUAGGCGGAUUUGUUAGUCAGGGGUGAAAUCCCGGGGCUCAACCUCGGAAUUGCCUUUGAUACUGCAAGUCUCGAGUCCGGGAGAGGUGAGUGGAAUUCCUAGUGUAGAGGUGAAAUUCGUAGAUAUUAGGAAGAACACCAGUGGCGAAGGCGGCUCACUGGCCCGGUACUGACGCUGAGGUGCGAAAGCGUGGGGAGCAAACAGG
rnacentral:rRNA from 1 species